AAAUAUUUUUGCACACUAAUAAACCUAUAUUCAGUUGUAUUAAUUUUUGUGGCAUCAUCGGAUUUACUCUGCUCUUCGCCGCCUCACAAGAUCUUGGCCAGAAAUUUUCCAGGUAACUAUGGAGAAGAACAAGGAGAAGGAGAAGAAGAAAGAAGGUUCGGUUAGUGUGAAAGCAAUAGAUGAUGUGUGGAACUGUGGGACUCCACUCUAUGAUGCUUAUGAAUUAACCUCUAUUGCAUAUAUCAUCGACAAGCAUAUGAUCACUUCUCAAUUUCACAGAGAGGAAACUGCUCCGAGGAACAAGAAGAAGAAGACGACAACUCGAUACUCUAAACUCUUUUCUUGGAUUUGUUUCAGCAACAGAUAAUGUACUAAUAGAUAUCAUAUGAGUUCAAAAAUCUUGUUUGUUAUUACUGUAUUAUUUUUCCUUUUGGAGGGGAAUCCAACCUUCUUUUACUAAUUAGAGAUUUAAAAAAUAGAAUUCAUGCCUUCAUGAUAA